rnacentral:rRNA from 1 species
UCGGAGGAAGUGGGAUGACGUCAAAUCAUCAUGCCCCUUAUGUCUUGGCUUCACGCAUGCUACAAUGGCCGGUACAAAGGGCUGCGAUACCGCGAGGUGGAGCGAAUCCCAGAAAGCCGGUCUCAGUUCAGAUUGGGGUCUGCAACUCGACCCCAUGAAGUCGGAGUCGCUAGUAAUCGACAGAUCAGCAACGCUGCGGUGAAUACGUUCCCGGGCCUU